rnacentral:rRNA from 1 species
GUGGGGAAUAUUGCACAAUGGGGGAAACCCUGAUGCAGCGACGCCGCGUGACUGAAGAAGUACUUCGGUAUGUAAAGGUCUAUCAGCAGGGAAGAAGAAAGACGGUACCUGACUAAGAAGCCCCGGCUAACUACGUGCCAGCAGCCGCGGUAAUACGUAGGGGGCAAGCGUUAUCCGGAUUUACUGGGUGUAAAGGGAGCGUAGGCGGUAGCGCAAGUCAGAAGUGAAAGCCCGGGGCUCAACCCCGCGGACUGCUUUUGAAACUGCGUAACUGGAGUGCAGGAGAGGUAAGUGGAAUUCCUAGUGUAGCGGUGAAAUGCGUAGAUAUUAGGAGGAACACCAGUGGCGAAGGCGGCUUACUGGACUGUAACUGACGCUGAGGCUCGAAAGCGUGGGGAGCAAACAGGA